rnacentral:lncRNA from 1 species
GGUAAGCACAACCCACCUCAUUUCGCAUUCCGAUUGCUUGUCGACACUUGCAAUCGGCCUCCCGCGGCACCCGGCACCCGGUUUGGCCCGAUCUCUCACGCGACCACCCGAACGGCCUCCAAUUCACGAUCCGAAAAUUAAAGGUCUUCGGUUAUGUGCCACGAUGCUUCAAAUCCAUUUUCAUGAAUUUACGAUAUCGCCUCGGCCCUCCCGGCGGACCCGAAGCCUAAACGUCCAUUUCUUUAAUAACUUUGUAACGGCUCGUCGGAUUGCCGAACCGUCUUCGCCAACGCGUUCGUUUACCUAGCAAUUUGGUUUACGGAGGGUCAAAUGAGAUCAAACCCUCAUAUUUUAAAAAACCCCAUUUUCUAAGCCUAAUAUGAAUUAAUCUCCAAAUAAUCCAAAUUAAAUAGAGCAAACAUGUUUAGAAUGCUCAUUAGAGGCUAUUAGAACACUUAAAACUAAGGAUUAAGCCAAAUCCUAAAAGCUUACCUCAAUGUGAACGCCGCGACGACAACACACCGCUCCAACGGGCGCACGAAAGCUCAAUCCGUCGCCUCCAACGCGUUCGCAAGCAUAUUCUCCACCAACCCCGCGAAUUUGAGCGAGAGAUAUAGAGAAAUGAGAGAGAUCUCUAGAGAGAGAAAGGAGAGUUUCUCUCCUCUCUCCAUGUGUGCGUGAGGUGUGUGUGGGUGUGCACGGCUGAAGGAGGAAGAAGAAGCAUCAUGCUUCUAUUUAAUUACACCCCAACACUAUUCACCUCCAGGCAGCUUAAAAUCUGAUAACUUUCGCCGGAGCUCCCUGAAUGUCCGUUUGAGCUCAAACUUGACAGUCAUGUUCGGUUUUACUUAACUUAACAAGCUGACGAUCACUGGUUCAGUUUCGACCCCGUUUGGUCACUGAAAACUGUACCGAACUGCAAUCUUUAUCAGAUAGCUUUCGGAUUUUAUUUCUCACUCUAUGGGUGUCAGAAAAAUAUGAAACCUUAAAUCUAGCCUCAUAAAAAUAUUUCUGACAUCUCCGCCAAUUUUCAUAAUUUUCUGAGACUGUGCAUUUUCUGCUUAUUUUUCUGUCCCGUCUCCAACAGAAAAUUCUAGAUCUUCUGUUUUAAUUCCGAUUUCAGCACAAGUCACCUCUGACUUAUGUUUUACCUCUAUAAAUCUAAUAAAAAUAGUUUCUCACACUAUUUUUAUUUAUUAUUAUUUUUAUACCAAAAUCUGGUAUAUUACAUUCUCCACCCCUUAAAAAGAAUUUCGUCCGCGAAAUUCAAAACACACCUCAAUUCAGCUCCUCGAGCAAUUGAGGGCACCAAUGCACUUUUUCACUUCGGAAUGGCUUUACACUCCUUGGAACUAUCCAAGAGAACUAUCACGGAGGGUACAAUACCAAACUCAUACAACUUUGUAAGGUGCAUCCCACAAAGUGCAUUACGGUAUCCACCAUUCUUGGUGGAAGCGCAAGUCGAAAUUCAACGACUACACACGCUCCAACCCCACUUGUCAUUUGGCAUGCAAGAACUCUUCUUUGCAUGUACUCUCCCUUCAGGGAAUACAUUCCGAUUCUAUCUCCAACAGUGCUUAAAAGCAACAUCACUGAUGCAUCGCUUCCGCGCGAGUGCUCUAAUUCCGCACUGAUCUUUAGCUCUAACAUGAGAUGGCCCACCUCGGCGCCUCCCAAUUCCAAUCCUCAAAUUCCACGUGGCUUGCUACUAGCUCAAGGUCUCACAAGGAGCACUUCAUCUUCUAAUACCAUAUGCCACGGUCAACAUUGAACUAAUUUCGCAACGAGCUCACACGAACGCUUCAUUCGUGGAUUCGAGUUAGACUCCUCGAUAAGGCUAUCCGCCAAACCGCUCUCUUCGGUCUCCACAGGUGGACCAAAGGCCACCAAUCCUACGUAGGCCUACCGCCUAACCUUUCUCAAUACGCAGCGUCUCUCGCUCGCAAUGCAGACCCAAUCAUCAUUGGGGCGAAAUUCUCACUUGGGAAUUCGCACACACUCCAACCAGGAGCAACUAAGAUCCCAAACCGUUACAGAUUCCCGGGUUGGGUCACACUCGCACUCUCAGUAUACUAUCAAUCGCACUACAUGCUCUAUAGCACAAUACGUACCACUAUCGGCUCCUAUGCACCUAGUGCGAGCCACCAGCCCCACGAGUGAUCCGUGGCACGCUUCACACCUAGCAAUGCUCAGGUGCUACUGCCAACACACUCAUCCGGCUAAACUAAAUCCGCACUCCACGAGUAACUAUACUCGUGUAUCGCACGCCUCUAAAGCGCUCCACACUAUGUCCAGCAUUAGGCAACUCUUGCCUAUGCACACCGGCCACACGAGCAUGGCUCACCUACCUCGAUUCGAGGUACUACUAGGCAAAAGCGCCAGUAGUUGGCAACAAACCGUUCCAUCGGAGCAACAUCCGGAAUACUCGAACCAUUCGAGUGUCCACAAGUGUCACGUCACAACUCUCGCAAUCAGCUAUACAUUGCUCUGCGAGUUAGUCCGUCACUCCCAUCUCUACUGUGAAUCUCAUCAUUAGACCAUCACUAGCAACUCGCUAGUGCCAUCCAGUUCUCUACCUGCACCGGCAGGUGCAACGCUUUCACCACAUAAGCGUGCCCGGGUAUUUACAUUUAUCCGCUCACUUGGACCCUACUAUGCUACUACAUAAAUAGUAGUAAUUAAUUACAUGCUCAAUGCAUGCAAUGCACCAACUUUACAUUAUGCAGAAACACAUAACUGCAUUAAUGGCUCAUACCUGCCAUGACGUUGUCAGCAGCAGGUUCCAUAUCCCGGACAUAGUUCACGAUAGGGAGAAUUCCCGUUCGUACUCUCUAACUGAGCGGUCUCCUUGCCGCAGCUUCCUGAACUUGUCCUGAAGCUUUCUCUUUUCACUGUCGGGGGAAGUAAGUAGAAGAUACCAAUCCCCAAAACUCAUCCCAUGCCAUGGAGGAAUACUAGGCGAUCGGUUCCGCCGAAUGCCUUUCCACCACGCCUUAGCCGACUGUUUCAAACAAUACACGGCUAGGGGUACCCUGUCCCGCUCCAAGGUAGACAGCUCCUCGAAGAGCGUUUCCACGGAGUCAAUCCACGUAUCCACAAUCCACGAAUCGACAUUCUCUCCAUCGAAGAUAGGUGGAUCAAACUUUAUGAAGGUCAUGAGGGCUGCCAAAGCCCGCUCUUUCUCCUUCUUUUCCUUUCCUUUCUUCCUCCUCUUCUUGUCUUCUAGAGAGAGAAAGAGAGAUAUGAGAGGGUGUGUGGGUGAGAAAUGAGAGAAAAGAGCUCUCAUACUCCUCACAUAGCCCCACAUGUUGCAUAAGUGCAAACAAGCCUCUCAACUUUUACUCUUUUACACUGCCCUGACUGGGCCAUUUUCAGGUUCGGGGACCGGUCUCCCCGACGAGGGACCGGUCUCCGAGAGCUCUCCCCGCGGUCAGCAGGGCUCACGCACGAUGCAUCCGGUCUCCCCCGAUGGGACCGGUCUCUUCGGGACCGGUCUCUCCCUGCAGGGACCGGUUCCCGAGAGCUGUCCACCGGGGACUUAGCCGAUUUUUCCUCCCUUUCGCUGUCUGCGCGUGCGGGGACCGGUCUCUCCCACCAGGGACCGGUCCCCGAGAGCAGAAAACCUGCAGUUUGCAGAUUUUGAUUCCCAAAGCUCUCGAAGAUCCCCAGCAACGCACUUUUGCAUUAUUUGACGCCUUCGGCCUUUCCGAAGUGUACCAACCUCGCUCUUUGGUCAAUUUGACCAAGGUUCGAUGUUCGCUUACCGAAGUUUCGGUAUAUUACACCUACAAUUUUUUUUCGGAGUCUCUUAAUUCGCUCCUCCUGGUGUAUAGCAGCCUCCUGCUGCCGCUGCACCACAUCUGCUCGUUGCCUCACCACACCCACAAGUGUGGCCAACCGUUCGCGAAGUUCCAAAUCUCCGCUCGCCUUGGAUUGCUCUGGGACAUCACUUGUCCCACCCCGCGUCGAUCUAAACGAAGAUCGCCUACGCGGUGCCAUCGUUACCUAGAACAUAACAACUCAACUAACUCUCAACCUUCUAGGUCGAGUACGAGACAACUGACAUCAACUCAAAUCGGGCGAAAGUCAUACAAGGGCAUCUAUUCUCAUCACUCGGUUUCAUGUUGUACGCGUCCAACAUGAACACUCUCGGUUGAGAAUAGACAACACCUUGGAUCUACCUCUAAUCUCCUUUUUAGAGGUUUACAACACAACCCAAUCCCUUAACCUUUCGCCAAAAGUCACAAGUCCUCGUCUCUCACGAGCCUUAAUCUCCUAUGGUUUACUAUCCUAGGGUCUCCUAGGUUCAUCUAAACCACUUUCCCAUUCUCUACUUUAUGCUCUGAUACCAUCUUACCUGUCACGCCCCGAGCCCGCCUCUUUGGUCGGAUUCGGGCACGCCAACAGACCGCCGAACGGACAGGGUUUCCCCUGCACGCGGACAGAGUCUCCCCUGUACGUUCAAGGCGUCGCAAUCAAUACAAUUACAAGAGGUUCCAAACAGGAACAAUUUUCAACAACGAUUGCAUAAGGAAGGUAUCAAACAACAUAACACAUCCUAUGUUAUUACAAUCAUUCAUCUCAUCAUUUUACAUCGCAUUUUUCAUUACAUUGAUUCUCAACUUCCAAAUAUACAAUCGAUUUCUAAACAUAAUAUUACAACAUCGAUUCUUUUCUUUUCUUUUCUUAUACCCCUAAGAAGCCGACUCAGGGUGCUGCUAUCUGGUCUCUGUGGUAGGGCGCUAACUACGGAGCUACGCCCUUUCCUCGCGCCGCCGCGCCGCUCGCGUGUGAACCUGUACCCCCAAAAACAACAACACGGGGGUGAGACUAUUGUCCAUAGUCGUCAGUGGGUACAGCCACCCAAGUGAAAAGCUCAACCCACCAGGUCCAAAGGAGGCACUGCAACAUGUUAGUCCAACAGAUAUAUAUAUAUAUAACAUCAUGCAAUACAUGUUCAUGCCUCACAAAUAUGCAAAUUAUGCAACUCUUAGUCAUUCUUUACCAUUAGCCUUUCUUUAGAAUAUGCAAUUCUUUAUCAUUAGCCAUUCUUUAUUCUUUAAUCUUUAUUCUUUAUUCUUUAUUCUUUAUGCUUUAUUCUUUAUGCUUUAUUCUUUGUUCUUUAUCCUUUACUAAGGGCACUCGCGCCUUAGGCUCAUCAUACACAUUUGCCAUUCUUUAUAACAUUAACAAGUCUUUCUCAAUUAUCACUCUUUCCUAAGGUUACAUUUACCUUAGCCAACUAUGCCACUCGACUCGGUCUUGAGUCAAUUCAUAAUGAAUACAAGAUCCACUUUCCAAUUCAUGAUUCCUUUUUGUUCUUUGUUCUUUAAUCUCACGGCUAACCCGGGGGUUUCGCCACAUUAACUUGCUUCACAUUAAGUCCAUCAUCGCAGGAACUCACCAGCUAGGACCGUCCUUACGGGUCUACUCCAACCCGGAUGCCAAACUCCGGAGCGCAUCGCCCGAGGGGGAGCGACCGCCCUCGAGCACGGAACUCAUAGCAAGUAUGAUCAAUCCUUAACUCUAAGGAUAUGUAGUUGGAUCAUGGUUUUACACUAACUCUAGUGUUCUUUACAUCACAUUAGUUGCUAACUCUAGCAAUCAUUAUUCUUUAUACCACAAUUAUCAAUUACUUUAGUAAUUAUCAUUCUUGAUACCACACUUGUUCUUUUAUUGCCACACACUAACUCUAGUGUUCUUUAUGUCACAUUGGUUGCUAACUUUAGCCAUUAUCAUUGUUCUUUACACUUUGCUUGUUCUUUAUGCCACAUUACUUUACAUCGCCUCUAGCCAUUAUCAUUAUUCUUUACAUCACAUUGCUUUGCCUUGUCUCAAGCCAUUAUCAUUAGGUUCUCACAUUACAUCUCAUGCAUACACAUAGAUUAUUUAGAUUCUUAAUCAUUCUAAUAAGCACGUGUACUCACAUCAUGCAACAUUACAUUAUUAUCAUCACAUUGUUUUACAUUAUCUUUAGCCAUUAUCAUUGUUCUUUACAUCACAUUUAUUCUUUGAUGUCCCACACUAACUCUAGUGUCCACUUUACCAUUUCGAAUGCCACUCGAUCUAUGUUCAACAUGCAUAUAUUUUGUCAUCCAUUGGUAGUCAUUACUUAGCAUUUUAUGCAUUCGUUAACAUUUACUACAUGCAUUCUCGGUUAGUACAAAUCUCAUACUUUCAUUUGACAUCUAUUUAGCAUUUCUAUAAUAUGCACAUAUAAAUUAACAUCAACUCAUGCAUUCAUUUGGCAUCUAUCUUUAUCAUGCAUUCUUAAUUAGCAUACUUUAUCAUGCAUUCUCAAAUAGCAUACUUUAAUCUUUAUCAUGCAUUCUUAAAUAGCAUACUUUAUCAUGCGUCAAUAGUAAACAUACUACACUUUAGCAUGGAAAGCGACCUAAUCGCUUCGGUGAGCACAACCCACCUCAUUUCGCAUUCCGAUUGCUUGUCGACACUUGCAAUCGGCCUCCCGCGGCACCCGUAACCCGGUUUGGCCCGAUCUCUCACGCGACCACCCGAACGGCCUCCAAUUCACGAUCCGAAAAUUAAAGGUCUUCGGUUAUGUGCCACGAAGCUUCAAAUCCAUUUUCAUGAAUUUACGAUAUCGCCUCGGCCCUCCCGGCGGACCCGAAGCCUAAACGUCCGUUUCUUUAAUAACUUCGCAACGGCUCGUCGGAUUGCCGAACCGUCUUCGCCAACGCGUUCGUUUACCUAGCAAUUAGGUUUAUAUAGGGUCAAUUUAGAUCAAACCCUUACAUUUUACAAAACCCCAUUCGGAGCCCUAAUAUGCUAUUAACCUCAAAAUAAUCCAAAAUUAAAUGGAUCAACAUGCUAACAAAGCUCAUUAGAGGCUAUUAGAAUACUUAAAGCUAAGGAUUAAGCCAAAUCCUAAAAGCUUACCUCAAUGUGAACGCCGCGACGACAACACACCGCUCCAACGGGCGCACGAAAGCUCAAUCCGUCGCCUCCAACGCGUUCGCAAGCAUAUUCUCCACCAACCCCGCGAAUUUGAGCGAGAGAUAUAGAGAAAUGAGAGAGAUCUCUAGAGAGAGAAAGGAGAGUUUCUCUCCUCUCUCCAUGUGUGCGUGAGGUGUGUGUGGGUGUGCACGGCUGAAGGAGGAAGAAGAAGCAUCAUGCUUCUAUUUAAUUACACCCCAACACUAUUCACCUCCAGGCAGCUUAAAAUCUGAUAACUUUCGCCGGAGCUCCCUGAAUCUCCGUUUGAGCUCAAACUUGACAGUCAUGUUCGGUUUUACUUAACUUAACAAGCUGACGAUCACUGGUUCAGUUUCGACCCCGUUUGGUCACUGAAAACUGUACCGAACUGCAAUCUUUAUCAGAUAGCUUUCGGAUUUUAUUUCUCACUCUAUGGGUGUCAGAAAAAUAUGAAACCUUAAAUCUAGCCUCAUAAAAAUAUUUC